rnacentral:lncRNA from 1 species
AUUGAUUCAACAAUCGAUCUGAUUUUAAAAACUAGGUAAAUGAAAACACAAACAUGCCAAAAUGUCACUACAUUCUAUCAAACACAUGUUCUACAUUUUUAACCCAUUCUAACUGUAGUGGCCCAAUUUUCCCGGGCCCAAUUAAAUAAAUAAGCACCAAAAAUAAAAAAUAAAAUAAUAAAACAGUCCAGUUUCUUUUUACAAACCCAAACUUAAAGCCCAAAUUCACUACCCAGUUACAGCGGCCCAAAUGCCUAAGCCCUAGCCCACUAGUCCAAAACAAAGCAAAAAAAAA